AAACCCUGGAGAACAGGCUGCUCGAUUGGGUGGAGCAACAGCUCAUGGCCAGAAUGAUCACUGGAAUGUUCACUCAGCCCAUCCAGACUGAUCCAGCCAGCCAAUCAGAGCUGGAGAAUAGUGUGACAUCAGGCAUAGGCCGCAGGUGGUGGUGGGCUUCAGUUGUUUGUGGAGACAGGGGUAAAAGUGGACUCUGAGCUCAUAAGACACUUUUGCAGUAAUGCUGGGACAGAGAGAGAUGCAGA